CCUACGGGGGACAGCAGUGAGGAAUAUUUGUCAAUGGACGAGAGUCUGAACCAGCGAAGUAGCGUGAAGGAUUACUGCCCUAUGGGUUGUAAACUUCUUUUAUAUGGGAAUAAAAUGUUCCACUUGUGGGAUUUUGUAUAUACCAUGUGAAUAAGGAUCGGCUAACUCCGGUCCAGCAGCCGCGUUAAUACGGAGGAUCCGAGCCUUAUCCGGAUUUGUUGGGUUUAAAGGGUGGGCAGGCGGAAGAUAAAGUCAGCGGGAAAAUGGAGGGGCUCAACCUCUUCGAGCCGUUGAAACUGGUGGUCUUGAGUGAGCGAGAAGUAUGCGGAAUGCGUGGUGUAGCGGUGAAAUGCAUAGAUAUCACGCAGAACUCCGAUUGCGAAGGCAGCAUACUGGAGCUCAACUGACGCUCAUGCACGAAAGUGUGGGUAUCGAACAGGAUUAGAUACCCCAGUAGUC
rnacentral:rRNA from 1 species